GGUGGUGAUUCCAGCUCCAGGGUUGCUGUGGUCAACACUGGGUACUUGAGGAGAGGUUGUCUGUGGCAAGUGACGCUGAAUUGGUCCUUGGGAGCCAAUGUUCAGGAUCUCUGCCUACACUCCCUCCCAGCUGCUCAUCCUAGGUUGAGACAUCCCAUUGGGGGCUUCCAUGGGAGACCUAUGGCUAUUAACAAGCCCCAAGGCCUGACCUGAAGCCAUCAGUGGCCCAGUAGCUGCUCUGCCUGAGUUUGUUGCUUUUCCUCUCCCUGGAUCUCCUGCUUACGACUACCGACUACCAACAACAAAGAUGUCUGACCCCAGAAGAUACUCCCCACUGCCCACCUCAAAAGACUAUCCACAAGCCAGUGGGAUCCAAUACCCCCUCCCCCACCCCCAAUGCACCCUGUGCUAUCCACUGAGUCCCCAUAGCCCUACUUCUCACCCAUGCCUCAUG